CAGCCUCACGACCUGUUGUUGCAAUCAAUAAAUUUGCUGCGUUGUACAAAAUUAUUACUGAAUGAAAUUGUCAAUUCAAUCAUCCGAGUUCUGCAUCAACAUAUUUUCAAGCACUUCCGUAGCUGACCACGCAAAAGCAUAAGAGGUAGCACAUACAGUAGCACUUCAACUUUGCGUCCCACAAGUCAUUCCACCUUGAAUUAGUCAUUUUAAUAAUGCAUCGCGACAUGCUUUCCCAGAUCUUCAUUUCUAUCCUGUGGAUUGCCUUUACGUUGGCAAUUGUUGCAAUUGUACAAUCCGAAGCCUGCAAACCACCUGGAGGUUCGUGUUCAUCUUUCAGAGAAUGUUGCAGCCAUAGUUGUGUGUGGUGGAGAUGUUCGUAAUUAUACACAAAGACCUUUUGCAUUUAAAUGACGGAUAGUACUAAAUCUAACUAUUCUCAACCUAAUUAUUCCUGAUUACGGGUAAAAACAUUGUAAAAAAAAUGUGUUCAUAAUGUGAUUAAAAUUGAAAAUUUGUUUAAUUCUUA